rnacentral:rRNA from 1 species
AGCGAACGCUGGCGGCAGGCCUAACCCAUGCAAGUCGAACGAACUCUUCGGAGUGAGUGGCGGACGGGUGAGUAACACGUGGGAACGUGCCUUUAGGUUCGGAAUAACUCAGGGAAACUUGUGCUAAUACCGAAUGUGCCCUUCGGGGGAAAGAUUUAUCGCCUUUAGAGCGGCCCGCGUCUGAUUAGCUAGUUGGUGAGGGAACGGCUCACCAAGGCGACGAUCAGUAGCUGGUCUGAGAGGAUGAUCAGCCACAUUGGGACUGAGACACCGCGCAAACUCCUACGGGAGGCGGCGGUGGGGAAUCUUGCGCAAUGGGCGAAAGCCUGACGCAGCCAUGCCGCGUGAAUGAUGAAGGUCUUAGGAUUGUAAAAUUCUUUCACCGGGGACGAUUAUGACGGUACCCGGAGAAGAAGCCCCGGCUAACUUCGUGCCAGCCGCCGCGGUAA